rnacentral:piRNA from 1 species
UAUAAUAAAACACUGUCAGGG